GUCUUGCUUCUUUCGCUGCAUUGGUGGCUUUGUGCGGAGCCACGCAAGGUUGUCAAAAGAGCAUUUACUGAUGCACCGACGUGAGGCCGAUUGACGUUAGCGAGUGAAUGUUUUGUGAAGAAGGGAGAGACAGAAGGGGAAGGAAGGCAAGGCAACCGCGAAGAAGACGAAGAUGCGGCGGUCAUCGUAGUGGGGGACUGGGUUUAGCUCUUGGGUGUCCAUCUCUCGCUCUCGCUCCCUCUCCCUCUCCCAUCUCCUCUCUCCCUCCCUCGGCCGGGUCUGGAGGAUUCCUUACUUCUGGCUCCUCCCAGGUUGCAUCCACAUGGACGGCGACGGAGGAGCGGCGGUAUUUUUCUUUUGUGGACCAAGAGGAGCACCGGUGAUGCGGGCUUGCCGAUGCUUGUUCAUCCUUCUCCUCUUUCUUUACGGCGGCCUUGUGACAGUUCAGGCAUUUACUGGCACUUAUGGAAUAAAUUAUGGCAGGGUCGCUGAUAACAUUCCUCCCCCUGAAGCUGUUGUGGCAUAUUUGAAAGAAGCAAAGAUAAAGAAUGCUCGAAUCUAUGAUGCAGAUCACAGUGUUCUGGAGGCAUUUAAAGGAUCCGGGCUUGAACUGGUGGUGGGAAUUCCCAAUGAAUAUCUUAAAAAUAUGAGUACGAAUGAAGACCAAGCUGUCAACUGGAUUAAGGAAAACGUGCAAGCAUAUUUGCCUGACACACAUAUCAGAGGGAUCGCUGUAGGGAAUGAAGUGCUGGGAGGAUCAGAUCAGGAGCUGGUAGAAGCUCUUUCUGGUGCUAUCAGAAACGUAUAUAAUGCUCUGAGUAAGCUUCAACUGACAGAUGUCAUCGAAGUCUUGACCCCACACUCUCAGGCUGUGUUUGAUAAUUCCUAUCCUCCAUCAUCAUGUACUUUCAAGGAGAAUGUUCUCCAAUACAUGAAACCAAUCUUGGAUUUAUUUUCAAAGGCAGGAUCUCCCUUCUUCAUCAACACAUAUCCAUUUUUGUCCUACAAAUAUGACCCCAAUAAUAUAGAUAUUAAUUAUGCUCUUUUCCAGCCAAAUCGUGGAGUUUAUGAUGCAAAGGCUGAUUUGCACUAUGACAAUAUGUUUGAUGCUCAGAUAGACGCAGCAUAUGCUGCUUUGGAAGCAGCUGGGUAUGAGGAGAUGGAAGUCCGAGUUUCUGAGACAGGUUGGGCUUCUAAAGGGGAUGAAGAUGAAACUGGAGCUACCGCUCAGAAUGCAAGAACUUAUAAUUAUAAUUUGCUCAAGAGGCUAGCCAAGAAGAAAGGGACUCCACGCAGACCAAAGAUGGUAGUAAAAGCAUAUGUUUUUGCAUUGUUUAAUGAGGAUUUGAAGCCUGGGUCAGGUUCUGAGAGGCAUUAUGGACUUCUGAAGUCUGAUGGGAGCAUAGCAUAUGAUAUUGGAUUUUCUGGUCUGACACCUUCAUAAUCAUCCUCAUCUCUCUUAUCUCUUAAGCAGGAAGGUCUGUAGCAGGAUUUUGCAGUAGUGGAGGGAACAGAGCCGGACAGAAGGAUAUCCAUGGUCAAAAUUGGGUAGUGCCUUACCCCAUGGUUUUGGCGACUUGUACUGUAGCCAUGCUUUUGGUUUUGAUGAGGUAACCGAAUCAAUGUUGCUUUUUGAUGCCAAACCAUCAUUAGAAAGCUGUUCCUUGGGUACAUGGCAAUAUGUUUCUUUUGGAUAUAUUCUCUCGUUACAGUGUUCAUUACCCAUUCAGAAAUUCUCACUAGGUAUGGAUUGCAUUAAACCAUUCAUGGAUUGCUUAAUCAUUUUAUUUACUGAAGCAGCGCACUCUAAUGCAUGCCUGUAUAAACAGGGUUAAUGAUUCUUGGAAGUAGAAAUAGUCAAAUGUGUAAGUGCUUGAAUUAUCAUAAA